rnacentral:rRNA from 1 species
CCUACGGGGGGCAGCAGUGGGGAAUAUUGGACAAUGGGGGGAACCCUGAUCCAGCCAUGCCGCGUGUGUGAAGAAGGCCCUCGGGUUGUAAAGCACUUUCAGUGAGGAAGAACGCCUGGUGGUUAAUACCCAUCAGGAAAGACAUCACUCACAGAAGAAGCACCGGCUAACUCCGUGCCAGCAGCCGCGGUAAUACGGAGGGUGCGAGCGUUAAUCGGAAUUACUGGGCGUAAAGCGCGCGUAGGUGGCUUGAUAAGCCGGUUGUGAAAGCCCCGGGCUCAACCUGGGAACGGCAUCCGGAACUGUCAAGCUAGAGUGCAGGAGAGGAAGGUAGAAUUCCCGGUGUAGCGGUGAAAUGCGUAGAGAUCGGGAGGAAUACCAGUGGCGAAGGCGGCCUUCUGGACUGACACUGACACUGAGGUGCGAAAGCGUGGGUAGCAAACAGGAUUAGAUACCCCGCUAGUC